rnacentral:rRNA from 1 species
AUUGAACGCUGGCGGCAGGCCUAACACAUGCAAGUCGAGCGGUAGCACAAGAGAGCUUGCUCUCUGGGUGACGAGCGGCGGACGGGUGAGUAAUGUCUGGGAAACUGCCUGAUGGAGGGGGAUAACUACUGGAAACGGUAGCUAAUACCGCAUGACGUCUUCGGACCAAAGUGGGGGACCUUCGGGCCUCACGCCAUCAGAUGUGCCCAGAUGGGAUUAGCUAGUAGGUGGGGUAAUGGCUCACCUAGGCGACGAUCUCUAGCUGGUCUGAGAGGAUGACCAGCCACACUGGAACUGAGACACGGUCCAGACUCCUACGGGAGGCAGCAGUGGGGAAUAUUGCACAAUGGGCGCAAGCCUGAUGCAGCCAUGCCGCGUGUAUGAAGAAGGCCUUCGGGUUGUAAAGUACUUUCAGCGAGGAGGAAGGCAUUGUGGUUAAUAACCACAGUGAUUGACGUUACUCGCAGAAGAAGCACCGGCUAACUCCGUGCCAGCAGCCGCCGUAAUAC